rnacentral:misc_RNA from 1 species
UGCCGUACAAGACCGCCAGCCUCCGCGACCACUACCGCAUCGGCAAGAAGCUCGGCCAGGGCCAGUUCGGCACCACGUACCUCUGCAUCAACAAGUCAGACGGCGGCGAGUACGCCUGCAAGUCGAUCCCGAAGCGUAAGCUCCUCUGCCGCGAGGACUACGAGGACGUAUGGCGCGAGAUCCAGAUCAUGCACCACCUCUCCGAGCACGCCAACGUCGUCCGCAUCAAGGACACCUACGAGGACCACCUCUUCGUACACAUUGUCAUGGAGCUCUGCAAGGGCG